ensembl:lncRNA
GCUCGCGCUAGUUUUAGAGAAAACUGAUGUGGAAAACUCAGCCAGAAGCUAGCAAGUGUCAAGUGAAUCGACAACAUCACCACAAACGUCUUUUCAAGCCAGAGAGUGGAGAGGAAGGGGAGGACAAAGACUGGAUAGGAAGAAGAGUGAAAGAGAGAGAGGAGGAAAGAUUGGAGAAGGAAAGAUUAAGGGAGUAAAAAGAGUGAAGCGAGGAGAGUGUGGAAGAGUGAGGUGGAAAGGUAAAGAGAAGGAAAGGAAAAAAGAGCAGGAAGAGGAGUGAAGAAAAGAGGAGGAGAAAGAUUGGAGGAGAAGAAAAAGUUAAGAGUAAGAAGAGUGACACAAGGAGAGUGAAGAAGAGCAGACAGAGGAGGUACAAUGGCUCAUUCCAAGAAACUGAAAUGCCAUUUUAAUGACAACAUGAGAAAAUGUCCAUUUAUACACUCCGGUCAAGACGAUAGAAUGGUGAACUGCACCCUUUGUAAUUCCUCUUUUUCAAUUGGCAGCGGGGGAAGAACGGCAGUGGUAGAACAUCAAUAGAC